UGGUGAGUAACGCGUGAGGAACCUGCCUUCCAGAGGGGGACAACAGUUGGAAACGACUGCUAAUACCGCAUGACACAUUUGAAUCGCAUGGUUUGAAUGUCAAAGAUUUAUCGCUGGAAGAUGGCCUCGCGUCUGAUUAGCUAGUAGGUGGGGUAACGGCCCACCUAGGCGACGAUCAGUAGCCGGACUGAGAGGUUGACCGGCCACAUUGGGACUGAGAUACGGCCCAGACUCCUACGGGAGGCAGCAG
rnacentral:rRNA from 1 species